rnacentral:lncRNA from 13 species
UAGGAGAGGUUGGGACAGGGCUGGUUAAGGUAGGAGAGGUUGGGGCAGGGCUGGUUAAGGUAGGAGAGGUUGGGGCAGGGCUGGUUAAGGUAGGAGAGGUUGGGGCAGGAACGGUUAAUGCAGGGGAGGUUGGGGCAGGGCUGGUUAAGGUAGG